rnacentral:rRNA from 1 species
GAUGAACGCUGGCGGCGUGCUUAACACAUGCAAGUCGAACGAGAGAAGAUUGGUGCUUGCACUGAUCCGAUCGAGUGGCGGACGGGUGAGUAACGCGUGGGUAACCUGCCUCAUACAGGGGAAUAACAGUUGGAAACGGCUGCUAAAACCGCAUAAGCGCACGGUAUCGCAUGAUACAGUGUGAAAAACUCCGGUGGUAUGAGAUGGACCCGCGUCUGAUUAGCUAGUUGGUGAGGUAACGGCCCACCAAGGCAACGAUCAGUAGCCGGCCUGAGAGGGUGAACGGCCACAUUGGGACUGAGACACGGCCCAAACUCCUACGGGAGGCAGCAGUGGGGAAUAUUGCACAAUGGGGGAAACCCUGAUGCAGCGACGCCGCGUGAGUGAUGAAGUAUUUCGGUAUGUAAAGCUCUAUCAGCAGGGAAGAUAAUGACGGUACCUGACUAAGAAGCACCGGCUAAAUACGUG